rnacentral:rRNA from 1 species
CAAGUCACGGGGGCUCGCAAGAGCAACCGGCGAACGGGUGCGUAACACGUGAGCAAUCUGCCGAUUUCUGGGGGAUAGCCGGCCCAACGGCCGGGUAAUACCGCAUACGCUGGUGGAGUGGAGUCACUCUAUCAGGAAACCUCCGGGGGAAAUCGAGGAGCUCGCGGCCUAUCAGCUAGUUGGCGGGGUCAAGGCCCACCAAGGCGACGACGGGUAGCUGGUCUGAGAGGAUGGCCAGCCACAUUGGGACUGAGAGACGGCCCAGACUCCUACGGGAGGCAGCAGUGGGGAAUCUUGCGCAAUGGCCGAAAGGCUGACGCAGCGACGCCGCGUGUGGGAUGACGCCUUUCGGGGUGUAAACCACUGUUGCCCGGGACGAACGACUUCUUUCGAGAAGUGUGACGGUACCGGGUGAGGAAGCACCGGCUAACUCCGUGCCAGCAGCCGCGGUAAUACGGAGGGUGCGAGCGUUGUCCGGAAUCACUGGGCGUAAAGGGCGCGUAGGCGGCUUGGGAAGUCCGUGGUGAAAGCCCGAGGCUCAACUUCGGGUCGGCCAUGGAUACUCCUAAGCUCGAGUCGACUAGAGGCUAAUGGAAUUCCGGGUGUAGCGGUGGAAUGCGUAGAGAUCCGGAAGAACACCGGUGGCGAAGGCGGUUAGCUGGGGUCGGACUGACGCUGAGGCGCGACAGCGUGGGGAGCAAACAGGAUUAGAUACCCUGGUAGUCCACGCCGUAAACGAUGGGCACUAGGUGCUUGGGGGAGCGACCCCUUGAGUGCCGGCGCUAACGCAUUAAGUGCCCCGCCUGGGGAGUACGGCCGCAAGGCUGAAACUCAAAGGAAUUGAC